rnacentral:rRNA from 1 species
UACGAAGGGGGCUAGCGUUGCUCGGAAUCACUGGGCGUAAAGCGCACGUAGGCGGGUCGUUAAGUCAGGGGUGAAAUCCUGGAGCUCAACUCCAGAACUGCCUUUGAUACUGGCGAUCUUGAGUCCGGGAGAGGUGAGUGGAACUGCGAGUGUAGAGGUGAAAUUCGUAGAUAUUCGCAAGAACACCAGUGGCGAAGGCGGCUCACUGGCCCGGUACUGACGCUGAGGUGCGAAAGCGUGGGGAGCAAACAGG